UGGGGAAUAUUGGACAAUGGGCGAAAGCCUGAUCCAGCCAUGCCGCGUGUGUGAAGAAGGUCUUCGGAUUGUAAAGCACUUUAAGUUGGGAGGAAGGGCAGUAAGCGAAUACCUUGCUGUUUUGACGUUACCGACAGAAUAAGCACCGGCUAACUCUGUGCCAGCAGCCGCGGUAAUACAGAGGGUGCAAGCGUUAAUCGGAAUUACUGGGCGUAAAGCGCGCGUAGGUGGUUCGUUAAGUUGAAUGUGAAAGCCCCGGGCUCAACCUGGGAACUGCAUCCAAAACUGGCGAGCUAGAGUAGGGCAGAGGGUGGUGGAAUUUCCUGUGUAGCGGUGAAAUGGGUAGAUAUAGGAAGGAACACCAGUGGCGAAGGCGACCACCUGGGCUCAUACUGACACUGAGGUGCGAAAGCGUGGGGAGCAAACAGG
rnacentral:rRNA from 1 species